UGGACUCUAUAAUAAAUUCUAAAUAUUCAUAAUGUGUAAGAUUAGUAUGGGGUGCUUUCAAUGGUGAGUUGUAGUGGCGUGUGAUGUUCAAGUAAACGCUAAAUUAUAGUGGGGUGGUGAUGGUAUGACUUAUUAAGUAUGUAAAUGUGAUAAAGGAAAUGUUUUUCUUACCGUGUUGCUGGGUGUUGUAGUAGGGUAUAUAUUUAUGUAAUUAUUCGAUGCCAUUGUUCGUGUUGUCGUUAAUGUGGAUUUUUUUAUUAAAUAAACGUAAAAAAAUAUAUUUCUGAACGCCAAAGUUGCUUUUUCUUCGCUUGUUAGCAGAUAUCUGAUACGAACGAAACGUGUGCACAUAAAAAUGUAAAACUUCUGUUUUUAGAAAUUCCAUUGUUCUAUCGUUGUAAGUUUUCAAUGGUCUAUUGUUCUAUUUACGUGUCAGAGCUUCUUUAGUCUCCGCGAAAAGAGUUAGGUAAUUCUCAAGUUUAUUUGAUAGUGCAGCUGGUGUUAAAUAUUUAUGUGUUUGGGCUGCUCAUUGUUUUAGCUGGAUCUUGAAAGUUAAGAUAAAAACAUCGAGAGAGGGUCGCCACAUCAGCCAACGAAGGGUCAGUCGGGGAACCGACCUCCUCAAAUCGUUAACUUAUUGGCAACUAGGCUUCUAUGCUGAUACCUCAACGAUGCAGGAUCACCGUUAAAUUUCAAAAAUAUCAUGAAACUAGACUUGUGAGAUGGAGAGCAACGAAGAAGGGUCACUGAAUCAGCCAGCGAAGGGCCAGUCAGAAAUCCGACCUCCUCAAAUCGUUAACCUGUCAGCGACAAUUGUUAUUGCCGAUCAACCCCACUCUGUCUGUUCCAUCUUUCUUUUUUAUAAAAAUAGAAUGAUAUUAAUAUAAAUAAGUAA